AUGACGAGUUCUUUGAGGAAGUC
rnacentral:piRNA from 1 species